UAAUACGUAGGGAGCCAGCGUUGUCCGGAUUUACUGGGCGUAAAGAGCGCGUAGGCGGUUUAGUAAGCGGAGGGUGAAAUCCCGGGGCUCAACUCCGGGGCUGCUCUCCGAACUGCUUGACUAGAGUACGGGAGAGGAUAGUGGAAUUCCUGGUGUAGCGGUGGAAUGCGUAAAUAUCAGGAGGAACACCCGUGGCGAAGGCUGCUAUCUGGAACGUAACUGACGCUGAGGCGCGAAAGCUAGGGGAGCGAACGGG
rnacentral:rRNA from 1 species